UCGUGGCCCUGCAGCGUGCGCUGCGCUCCCUCCCCCCGCCGUGCCAUGGGUGACCCGUUCCGGAGGGCGGAGUCGGGCACUCAGCCACUUGCACGACUUGAGGGCAGAAGUGCUCUGAAGAAUCUUGAACCUUAUCUGUUUGCUGAGGAAGGAUCUCCUGUUCAUGGAGAUGUCAUUGAAUUCCAUGGACCAGAAGGAACAGGAAAAACAGAAAUGCUUUAUCACCUAGUAGCCCGCUGCAUCAUCCCAAAAUCAGGAGGAGGUCUGGAAGUGGAAGUCAUGUUCAUUGAUACAGAUUACCAUUUUGAUAUGCUUCGUCUAGUUACCAUCCUUGAGAACAGAUUGGCAGAAAGGACAGAAGAAAUGAUCAAGCAAUGCCUGGGAAGGCUCUUUCUGGUGAACUGCAGUAGUAGCACUGAGUUACUCCUCACUCUCUACUCUUUAGAAAACAUGUUUUGCACUCACCCCUCUCUCUGCCUUUUGAUUUUAGAUAGCAUAUCAGCUUUUUACUGGAUAGACAGAAGCAACGGAGGGGAGAGUCUCACCUUGCAGGAAAUGAAUCUGAAGAAAUGUGCUAACUUCCUUGAAAAGCUUGUGAGCAAGCAUCAUUUAGCCCUCUUUGCAACAACACAGACGCUUAUGCAGAAAUCUGCAAACUCUGCAGAAAGCUUUUUCCCUUUAAAACUGACACACGAAACUGAUACAGACUAUAGACCAUAUCUUUGUAAAUCAUGGCAACAAAUGGUAACCCACAGGGUAUUUUUCUCUAAGCACUGUAAUUCUGACAACAGCAAAGGUUUCACAGUCACUUCUUGCCACCUCAAAAGGAACCAUGUAGUAAAACGUUCAUUUAGUAUUGCAGAAUGUGGAGUUCAGUUUUAAUUUCAGUUUGUUUUUUAAACGUGUAGCAAAUCCUGGUGCUUAAUCCUCACUGGGCCUAGGGAGCUUUUAGUACCUUUUAAACUAGUUGGUUGUUGCUGGAUAAUUAAGAAUUUUUGUCACGAUUCUGUCACAAGAUUUUAAUUUGGUGAAGGGCAGGAAGCAUUAACCUAUUUGAAGUACUGUAUACGUUCAGUUCAAACUAGUGAGGAAUGUUGAAAUUACUUGUUUGUACUUAAUGAAUGAAGAGAUGAAAUCAAGAAAACCGUAAUCAAAGACAUUCUGAACUCCUGGUAUCCUUCAGUAAUCUAACCUAUGUGAUAUGUGGCCAAAUGCACUGACUUCAUUUCUGUGUCUUACUGCUUUAUACUCCUCUUCCAAACUACAGAACUAGGAGCCUUGUUGUCCAUGGAGGAGACUGCAAAAAGGCGAGUGUUCACUGUUUAGAAAUCCUGAUCUAGGUUUAUUCCUAGUAGCCUGGGACAUAUGAAAUGCAUUCACAACUUUGCCUGAAGAAGAGGAUUCAUUUUCACAGUCUGUUAAACAGUGGUAACCUUGACCAUGCUUCCCCAAGCUCGCAGCCUCUCUGUAUUAGCGUGUGCUUGGAGAAGUAAGGAUUGCAGGUGUUUUGACCCUUACAAACCUCUGGGUCUGAAGAAUUUACAGUGAUCAUAGAAAUGGAGGCCUGAUUGCCUUCAGGAGCCAUGAAUUAAAACUAAAGACCCAGCUCUGGGUACCUGUGAGUUUGUGCUGCAUGCUGCAAACAGUUUAGGCUUUGAAAAUAAUGGCAUGUGGGUUAUGGGUUGUUCUGGGUGCGGGGGGCUGUUUUUUGUUGGUUUCUUUAGAUGUAUGCACAGACAUAUGUUUGUGUUUUCUUUCUCUGCCCUCCCUCAUUAUUUCUUCCCACUUCUUUCUUUUUUCCCACUCUCUCUAAGAAAUCCAGGAAUGCCAUGCCUCUGGUCUUCACCAAUAUGUAUUUGCCACAUGUAGAACAUUUGUGUGCAGGAUUUGGCAUGCAACAUGUUGCAAUUCUGGCAAAGAAGAUUCAGAACUUAUGGGAAAUGCCCUACAGUUCUGGCAAAGAAUAGCAUAUUAUUUAUUAACCUAGAGUGCCCUUUGAAAGCUUCAAAGUGCUUUACAAGAAAGAAAAUUGCACACAGUACAUUAUUUAAUACAAAAACUUACAUUAGCUUACAAAUUUAAAUUACUCAAACAAGGGGGAAAAUAUUUCUCACAGCAAUAUUCGUUCAGUCAUGUUGCACAGCUUGUUUCAUAGUUUAGAUUGAACAGAUUGUUAACAAAAAUGCAUAUUAAGAAGAGGUAUCUAGCAUAGUAUCUUUUUGAGGAGGAUGCCUGAAAAACUCUGUUGUGAGACACCUUUUAAUUUCCUAACUUCUGAAGCCAGCUUUUUCAAGCUGAAUAUAUAUGUGGGUUCCCAGCUGUGUGUAGCUUGGUGUGCAUACCCAGACCUCUUUAUGCAGAGCUAGGACCAUGUAUCUGUACUGUUAUUCACAGAAUGUGGCAUCUCUAUGAUUUGGCUGGAUUUCUCCACAGGCAAUGAUUGUCCCACCUCCGACAGCAGCCAGUACCAAAGCUUUGGGAAGGAGUGUGAGACACACUGGUUUUCAAUGGCAUGGCCUCCUUGAGGAUGGGGCUCAGGGAGCUCCUAAGCAGAGCUGUGGUCAGACCUGUGUUUGAUGGACGUUGAUCAGACCUAUCUUCCAUAAGUUCAUCCAAUCCAUUUUUAACUUGCCCUCUUGGGUUCCACUGUGUUUUUUCACGAUGAGUUCAGUUUAAUUAUUCUUUCUGUGGGAAAACUUCCUUUUUUUGUUCCCCUCUCAUUUUAAAUCUUCCAUGUGAAUGCUUCCUCAUGCUGUCACUUCUUUUACUGUGACACAUGAGCAAAGUUUGCCUUUUCACCAUCUCUGCAGAGGUGAUAACUUUAUAGACUGUCACUUCAUUUGUGCUUUCUCUUCCAUCAACACCAGUACUUACUUUAUUUCAGAACUUCUGUAAGUGCACAAAUGCAUUAAAACAUACAACUUAACCAUUCCUACACUGGACCCAAGGUAGAUGGUUUUACAUGAGUAGACACUUCCACUCAGAUUAAUUACAAAGAUUUACAUGAUUUUUUUGUCAUAAAAAUUUUGGAAAGAUUUAAGUAGAACUAUAGAACUUUUAAAUGUGAAAAUUAACAGACUAUAUAAUUUCUAUUACAAAAAAAACAUCAAUCCCCCUUUCUAUUGGAGAAUAUAGCUCUACCGAGAUUUAACUGCUUUGUAAAAUCAUACUUACUAAAAAAAGUGUUUGGAAAAAAAAACCCAAAGCAAUGGAAGUGUUCUGGCAUUCCUGUCUGGAAAGAAAAGCUUUUAUGUUACAAUGUAGUUGAUAUUUUGCAUUGUACAAUAAAAGAAAUGCCUAAAUGGAAAUGAAGCCAAAGUUGUAACUGAUCAAAAAGAGCACCUCAGGAAAUUUUUUUAUUUCCCAGUUUUAUUUUUACUUUGAAAGAAAAAAGAAUUAUUUUUGUUUCAAUUCUCUGGUAAUUGCAAUAUUCAUGCUCUGCACGUUUGCUUUAGCAGCACCGCAAGCCUGGCUUUCAGAGGUGCUGAGCAUCUGCAUAUCCCUUUACAUUUGCAGGGAUAGGCAGUGUGCAAUCCGGGAGUGCACUGACCUUACUUUCUGCUAAAAUUAUGCCAUUUAGAAAAAUGAACCUUGAGGAUACAAGUCUAGGAAAGAUGCAGUGAUAAAGAGCCUGGGAAAGCAGCAAUUUUGUUCAUACCUUAAUGAACUGUGCAUAUUAAAAAUGGGUUUUUACCAUUUUUUAAAUGGUGAAUUAUCUUUAUUAAAACUGUAAAAAUUGCAGUUAAUGGAGAAUGCAGUUUCUCCUUGUGAGAACAGAAACAGUAUAUUAAAUGUAGCAUUAUAUAUAGUUUAUAGUAUUAAAUCCAUAUUAUUCUCUCUCACCUAGACCUAAAUUACUACCCAGCCUCCAGCCUGCUGUCUAACCUGGAGCAACCUGUGCUGCCACAGCUCAGUCUUCCAGGGAGGAAGCACCUUUUGUGUUAGCAGGUCUGUGCCACUGGAAAUCAGCCCUGCAAAAGAUAAAUGCAUGUCAUUAGCUCUAGGCGCCUUCCCAAGAGCCAGCACUUAGCUCCAAGAGCACUCACAGCUUUCUGUGUCAGGCCUGUGCUUUACUGGAAUUGGGUAGUUUUCUCCUUUGCUGAGAGUUUAUGUGUACACUUUUUAUGAUCAGCAUAGACUGGGAGAGCUGAAUACAGAAGACUGAACCCAUGUGGCACAUCAGUGUAAGCGGGAAAUAAUUUUGGAGACUUCAUUCUAUAUGCAGUCAGGAGUAAUGUCACAUUGGAGUAGAUGCUUUUGAAGAAACGUGGCUGUGACUUUCCUUGGGAAAAGGUUGGCAGUCUUCCCUCUGCUUUCCCGCACUGCUUUGCAUCCUACCCCAACCAACUGGUUGGUGUACCUGUGUGGGCCACAGUGCUUGAGGAUAGCAGUGACAAGAUGUCACUGCCUUGCCAAAUGCUGGGGAACAGCCAUGUUCUGCAUCUUGGCACCCUCAACCUGCAGGAGUUGGCACAACCACUAUAGUUUUUACUUUAAACCAUUUGCCAGGCUUCUUUCUCAUACAGAAGCCAGGCCUGUGCUAAAGACCUCCUAGCCCUGGGGAGAGAUAAGAAAGAUAAGAAAUCGUGGGCGUUUUGAGUAUAAGAACUACAAGAUUUUUAGGCCACUGUUAUAGAAAGGCCAAGCAAGGCCAUGAGGUUCCUGGUACUGGCUGAUAGAUGUCAAGGCCUAAAAGGUGGUUUGGAACAGACCAAAGGAACAGACUCCACAUCUUCCUUCCGCACUGCUCAUAUUGUGAAGGGAUGAAUAGGAUUUUUGACUUAGAAUCUAUGUGCAUACUUUCAUACUUUACCAUACUGCUGAGAGAGAAGACCAUGCUAUGGUGGGCAGUAUUGUCUCUGAAGUGAAUCUCAAGCCCUUCUCAAACUCCAUCACUGACAGUCCUGUCCCCAGCCCAACACCUCCGUGGACUCUGUGUCCAUCUCCUUGAACUAACAGCAGUGCUGCAGCGAUAAGUGAGUAUCAUCACAUUUGCCUUUACUGGGCAUGAGGGACACUGUGUGUGUUGGGCAUCGUCAUCUGGAGCAGGUCUGAGCCACGCUUUCCAACUUUAACAGUCCUCCAUAUCUGACAUGAUGCCACUGGUCAGUGAAAAUGCAAUAGCACGUCCACACCCUCUGAACAGCCAGACUUCCAACUGCAAACCUAUCCUCUGCCCUCAGUCAGCACCUCAGUAGUACCACUGCUGAGCCCCCAGCUGAAUCCCAAUCUCUUGUGCUGUGUUUUCCCUGAGGAAUCCUUUUCACAGAAGUGCACAGCUCCAGGUAUUAUCCCACAGUUAUGUAGCAAAUCCAUGCCAUAUUUGGACAAUGCAAUGAAUGGGUUUAGAAAAUCAGUGUACAUUAGCAGAGAUCUUGUCAAAGCAGGCUGAUUUCUGCUCAGUAAAAUAUCAGGCAGUUUUAACAGCUCUGAAGCUGCUUUUGACUUGCAAAACUGCUAAUAUUUUGCAAGUCAAAAGCAGCUUCAGAGUUGUUAAAAACAGUAUUUUUAGGUACAGAAAUUACUCUAGCGUGUCCUCAACAUUAUAAGGUCAGAAGAAGCCUCUCUCUGCACAGUGGCAGUUGUGCCAUUCCAGCUGCACAGCAUCCGGAGGUGUUGCUCUGCUGACUUCCAGCAGUACAUCACCUGCUGGGCUUGCCUUAUCCCUCCUCAAAAAGCAGCAUGCCUUUGCGAUUUGGGUUCAUGGAUGGGAUCAUGCCCUCUGGCCAAUGUCCUGCCUGCAGCAGGACAUGUAAGGACAUGAUGACAUGUAAGUCCUCAGCAGGUUCUCCACACAGUUAGUCUGUGGCUGGUCACAUCCUGCCUCACUGCUGUGGAAAGCAGUGCAGUAGAGGAAUAGCACGGCUUGUCCUGAGCACAUAAAGCCACCCCUGAAAUGAUGGAGGUUUCCUCUCCAUGUCCAGAACCCAUGGAAGGGCAGCUGGGACAGAGUCUCCAAGGCAGAGCUGUGCCCCAGGUGGGA